ACCCGGACACCCGGCCUCUAGGCUCGCUCUCAGUCUUUCUCUUCGCAGUAAAGAGUAGACCGGGUGGGUGGAGGGGGAAUGGGAUUAAAGGACCCACGGCAUUUAGGCCUUGCCUUGCCUCACCCGCUCAAGAGAAGGGACACGAGGACAACUUGGAAGCUGUCUGGUGACCUGUGGGCGCGGGGAAGGAAGCAAAGACCAGCAGAGCAUGGAAUUGCCAUAAAGGCCAGGCUGGUUCAGAACUGCCAAUGCUCCUGCUUCAGCCUCAGAAGCAUGGUCCUCGGACUUGCCACACCUGGAAGCCUGCAAAUUAAGAAAACUGGUGGCAUUUACUAUUCUGCACUCUGCUAUCUUGUGAUUUCAAGGUUCUGAUGACUUGUUUCAAGGACCGGAAGUGGAACAGAUCCUCAGACCUUAGUACAGCUGACUCAAAUGAUGGAAAUACCAUUCAGAUCAUGGAGCCCAGCAUGUGGUGGCACGAGCUGCCAAAAUGAGAACAAAGACCUAAUCUAUCCAAGUCCAUAGCCCUGGGAAAGUCUCUAAACGGACUCACCUUGCUUUUUGGCUUCUGUAGCUCUGCUUCUGGCUAACUGCGCUUGUUAACUGAGAUGUGUCAACCUAGGGUGUGGUUUUUGUGCUUAAAAGCUCACCCUGAGAAGGGCUGAGGGCUGUAUCAUGGCCCCAACACCCAGUGUAGAAGCCAGGCAGCUACUAAAGACUUCCUAUGGCUUUGAA